GCGCUCGUAGCCCAGCUGGAUAGAGCGUCUGACUACGAAUCAGAAGGCCGGGAGUUCGAAUCUCUCCGAGCGCACCA
rnacentral:tRNA from 10 species